rnacentral:tRNA from 1 species
GUGGAUGUAGCUCAACGGCAGAGCACCUGAUUGUGGUUCAGGUGGUUGUGGGUUCGAAUCCCAUCAUCCACC